rnacentral:rRNA from 1 species
AACGAACGCUGGCGGCAGGCUUAACACAUGCAAGUCGAGCGCCCUGCAAGGGGAGCGGCAGACGGGUGAGUAACGCGUGGGAAUCUACCCAUCUCUACGGAAUAACGCAUGGAAACGUGUGCUAAUACCGUAUACGUCCUUCGGGAGAAAGAUUUAUCGGAGAUGGAUGAGCCCGCGUUGGAUUAGCUAGUUGGUGGGGUAAAGGCCUACCAAGGCGACGAUCCAUAGCUGGGCUGAGAGGAUGAUCAGCCACACUGGGACUGAGACACGGCCCAGACUCCUACGGGAGGCAGCAGUGGGGAAUGUUGGACAAUGGGCGCAAGCCUGAUCCAGCCAUGCCGCGUGAGUGAUGAAGGCCCUAGGGUUGUAAAGCUCUUUCACCGGUGAAGAUAAUGACGGUAACCGGAGAAGAAGCCCCGGCUAACUUCGUGCCAGCCGCCGCAGUAAAAC